UCAGUGGCGAACGGGUGAGUAACACGUGAGCAACCUGCCCUGAACUCUGGGAUAAGCGCUGGAAACGGCGUCUAAUACUGGAUAUGAGCUGCGGAGGCAUCUUCGUGGUUGGAAAGAUUUUUCGGUUUGGGAUGGGCUCGCGGCCUAUCAGCUUGUUGGUGAGGUAAUGGCUCACCAAGGCGUCGACGGGUAGCCGGCCUGAGAGGGUGACCGGCCACACUGGGACUGAGACACGGCCCAGACUCUACGGGAGGCAGCAGUGGGGAAUAUUGCACAAUGGGCGGAAGCUGAUGCAGCAACGCCGCGUGAGGGAUGACGGCCUUCGGGUUGUAAACCUCUUUUAGCAGGGAAGAAGCGAAAGUGACGGUACCUGCAGAAAAAGCGCCGGCUAACUACGUGCCAGCAGCCGCGGUAAUACGUAGGGCGCAAGCGUUAUCCGGAAUUAUUGGGCGUAAAGAGCUCGUAGGCGGUUUGUCGCGUCUGCUGUGAAAUCUGGGGGCUCAACCCCCAGCCUGCAGUGGGUACGGGCAGACUAGAGUGCGGUAGGGGAGAUUGGAAUUCCUGGUGUAGCGGUGGAAUGCGCAGAUAUCAGGAGGAACACCGAUGGCGAAGGCAGAUCUCUGGGCCGUAACUGACGCUGAGGAGCGAAAGGGUGGGGAGCAAACAGGCUUAGAUACCCUGGUAGUCCACCCCGUAAACGUUGGGAACUAGUUGUGGGGUCCAUUCCACGGAUUCCGUGACGCAGCUAACGCAUUAAGUUCCCCGCCUGGGGAGUACGGCCGCAAGCUAAAACUCAAAGGAAUUGACGGGGACCCGCACAAGCGGCGGAGCAUGCGGAUUAAUUCGAUGCAACGCGAAGACCCUUACCAAGGCUUGACAUACACGGGAACGCUGCAGAAAUGUAGAACUCUUUGGCCACUCGUGAACAGGUGGUGCAUGGUUGUCGUCAGCUCGUGUCGUGAGAUGUUGGGUUAAGUCCCGCAACGGCGCAACCCUCGUUCUAUGUUGCCAGCACGUAAUGGUGGGAACUCAUGGGAUACUGCCGGGGUCAACUCGGAGGAAGGUGGGGAUGACGUCAAAUCAUCAUGCCCCUUAUGUCUUGGGCUUCACGCAUGCUACAAUGGCCGGUACAAAGGGCUGCAAUACCGCGAGGUGGAGCGAAUCCCAAAAAGCCGGUCCCAGUUCGGAUUGAGGUCUGCAACUCGACCUCAUGAAGUCGGAGUCGCUAGUAAUCGCAGAUCAGCAACGCUGCGGUGAAUACGUUCCCGGGUCUUGUACACACCGCCCGUCAAGUCAUGAAAGUCGGUAACACCUGAAGCCGGUGGCCCAACCCUUGUGGAGGGAGCCGUCGAAGGUGGGAUCGGUAAUUAGGACUAAGUCGUAA
rnacentral:rRNA from 1 species